UACGGAGGGUGCAAGCGUUAUCCGGAUUUACUGGGUUUAAAGGGUGCGUAGGUGGAUAAUUAAGUCAGUGGUGAAAUCUUCAGGCUUAACCUGGAAACUGCCGUUGAUACUAUUUAUCUUGAAUACUUUGGAGGUAAGCGGAAUAUGUCAUGUAGCGGUGAAAUGCUUAGAUAUGACAUAGAACACCAAUUGCGAAGGCAGCUUACUACACAGUAAUUGACACUGAGGCACGAAAGCGUGGGGAGCAAACAGG
rnacentral:rRNA from 1 species